ACUCCGCUCGAUGGUGGCACGGUCGCCUAGCUGGUAGUCAGGGAGCCCUUUGCGGAGGGUCCGGUGCGCGUUUAUUUAGAAACCUGAAUGGAGGUUAUGGAUGAUAAGCCCAAACCUGAAGCCCCAAGUGAGAGUUCAGAGCGUCUCUUCUCCUUUGGAGUUAUAGCAGAUAUUCAAUAUGCUGAUUUAGAAGAUGGCUAUAAUUUCCAAGGAAACAGGCGGCGAUACUACAGACAUAGUCUUCUUCACUUACAGGGUGCUAUUGAAGACUGGAAUAAUGAAAGCAGCACACCCUGUUGUGUUCUUCAGCUGGGAGAUAUCAUUGAUGGAUAUAAUGCACAGUAUGAAGUAUCAGAAAAGUCCCUAGAACUUGUUAUGGACACAUUCAAGAAGCUGAAAGUUCCAGUUCAUCAUACAUGGGGAAACCAUGAAUUCUAUAACUUCAGUAGAGACUACUUAACAAACUCUAAACUUAACACAAAGUUUCUGGAAGACCAAAUUGUACAUCAUCCUGAGACCAUGCCUUCAGAAGAUUAUUAUGCUUAUCAUUUUGUACCAUUCCCUAAAUUCCGGUUCAUUUUACUUGAUGCUUAUGACUUGAGUGUCUUGGGCAUGGAUCAGUCCUCUUCAAAAUACCAGCAGUGUAUGAAGAUACUGAGGGAGCACAAUCCAAAUACGGAAUUAAAUAGUCCUCAAGGUGAAUUAUUCCUUUGAGCUGAGAAUCUAAUACAUUGUCUUUAAAUUCUUCAGCUACUUUUUAUUCAGCAGGAAGAUGGACAAUUAAGGACUUUCUGAGCCCCAAUUUGUCCAGUUUAAUGGAGGAUUCAGCCAAGAACAGCUGAACUGGUUGAAUGAAGUGCUUACAUUCUCUGACAGAAACCAAGAAAAGGUGGUGAUUGUGAGCCACCUUCCCAUUUACCCAGAGUCUUCUGACAGUGUGUGCCUGGCCUGGAACUACAGAGAUGCCCUGGCAGUGAUUUGGUCUCAUGAAUGUGUGGUGUGCUUCUUUGCCGGUCACACUCACGACGGUGGCUAUUCUGAGGAUCCUUUUGGUGUGCAUCACGUCAACCUAGAAGGGGUUAUUGAAACAGCGCCAGACAGCCAAGCUUUUGGCACAGUUCAUGUCUAUCCUGACAAAAUGAUGUUGGAAGGGAGAGGCAGAGUUCCAGACAGAAUUAUGAAUUACAAGAAGGAAAGAGCCUUCCAUUUUUAGUCUGAUCUCUUUUGUUUAACUUGAUAGAGAAUGAGCUUUUUGUUUGUUUCCCCUUAACAAAAAUAAAAAUAAAAAUAAAAAUCCUCAAUCUCAUUGUUUAGUA